rnacentral:rRNA from 1 species
GAUGAACGCUGGCGGCGUGCUUAACACAUGCAAGUCGAACGGAAAGGCCCAAGCUUGCUUGGGUACUCGAGUGGCGAACGGGUGAGUAACACGUGGGUGAUCUGCCCUGCACUUCGGGAUAAGCCUGGGAAACUGGGUCUAAUACCGGAUAGGACCACUUCUUGGAUGUUGUGGUGGAAAGUUUUUUCGGUGUGGGAUGAGCUCGCGGCCUAUCAGCUUGUUGGUGGGGUAAUGGCCUACCAAGGCGUCGACGGGUAGCCGGCCUGAGAGGGUGUACGGCCACAGUGGGACUGAGAUACGGCCCAGACUCCUACGGGAGGCAGCAGUGGGGAAUAUUGCACAAUGGGCGCAAGCCUGAUGCAGCGACGCCGCGGGGGGGAUGACGGCCUUCGGGUUGGAAACUCCUUUCGCUAGGGACGAAGCGUUUUGUGACGGUACCUGGAGAAGAAGCACCGGCUAACUACGUG